AGAGUUUGAUCCUGGCUCAGGACGAACGCUGGCGGCGUGCCUAACACAUGCAAGUCGAACGGGAUCCAUGGAGUGCUUGCACUCUUGAAGGUCUAGUGGCGAACGGGUGAGUAACACGUGAGAAACCUGCCCCAGACUCUGGGAUAACCCCGGGAAACCGGAGCUAAUACCGGAUACUCUCAUUUGGUCGCAUGGCCGUUUGAGGAAAGUUUUUCGGUCUGGGAGGGUCUCGCGACCUAUCAGCUAGUUGGUGAGGUAACGGCUCACCAAGGCUACGACGGGUAGCUGGUUUGAGAGAACGAUCAGCCACACUGGAACUGAGACACGGUCCAGACUCCUACGGGAGGCAGCAGUGGGGAAUCUUGCGCAAUGGGCGAAAGCCUGACGCAGCAACGCCGCGUGCGGGAUGAAGGCCCUCGGGUCGUAAACCGCUUUUCAGCAGGGACGAAAAUGACGGUACCUGCAGAAGAAGCUCCGGCUAACUACGUGCCAGCAGCCGCGGUAAUACGUAGGGAGCAAGCGUUGUCCGGAUUUAUUGGGCGUAAAGAGCUCGUAGGCGGUUCCGUAAGUCGAGUGUGAAAAAUCUGGGCUCAACCCAGUGGAGCACUCGAUACUGCGGUGACUAGAGUACGGUAGAGGAGUGUGGAAUUCCUAGUGUAGCGGUGAAAUGCGCAGAUAUUAGGAGGAACACCAACGGCGAAGGCAGCACUCUGGGCCGGUACUGACGCUGAGGAGCGAAAGCGUGGGGAGCAAACAGGAUUAGAUACCCCGGUAGUCCACGCCGUAAACGUUGGGCACUAGGUGUGGGGAGGAAUCAACCCUCUCCGUGCCGUAGCUAACGCAUUAAGUGCCCCGCCUGGGGAGUACGGCCGCAAGGCUAAAACUCAAAGGAAUUGACGGGGGCCCGCACAAGCGGCGGAGCAUGUUGCUUAAUUCGAGGCAACGCGAAGAACCUUACCUGGGUUUGACAUGUACCGAAAAGCCAUAGAGAUAUGGUGUCCUUCGGGGCGGUACACAGGUGGUGCAUGGUUGUCGUCAGCUCGUGUCGUGAGAUGUUUGGUUAAGUCCAGCAACGAGCGCAACCCUUAUCCUAUGUUGCCAGCGCGUAAUGGCGGGGACUCGUGGGAGACUGCCGGGGUCAACUCGGAGGAAGGUGGGGACGACGUCAAAUCAUCAUGCCCCUUAUGUCCAGGGCUGCAGACAUGCUACAAUGGCCAGUACAACGGGCUGCGAGACUGCGAGGUCAAGCGAAUCCCUUAAAGCUGGUCUCAGUUCGGAUUGAAGUCUGCAACUCGACUUCAUGAAGCUGGAGUCGCUAGUAAUCCCGGAUCAGCAACGCCGGGGUGAAUACGUUCCCGGGCCUUGUACACACCGCCCGUCACACCACGAAAGUUGGCAACACCCGAAGUCAGUGGCCCAACCCUUUUGGGAGGGAGCUGCCGAAGGUGGGGUU
rnacentral:rRNA from 1 species